rnacentral:rRNA from 1 species
UACGUAGGGUGCAAGCGUUAAUCGGAAUUACUGGGCGUAAAGCGUGCGCAGGCGGUUUUGUAAGUCUGACGUGAAAUCCCCGGGCUUAACCUGGGAAUUGCGUUGGAGACUGCAAGGCUGGAAUCUGGCAGAGGGGGGUAGAAUUCCACGUGUAGCGGUGAAAUGCGUAGAGAUGUGGAGGAACACCGAUGGCGAAGGCAGCCUUCUGGGCCAACACUGACGCUCAUGCACGAAAGCGUGGGGAGCAAACAGGAU